rnacentral:lncRNA from 1 species
AUGAGUGAUAUCGAGAGGAUUUGGAGACAUUUUCACCACUGGCCAAGACAACUCCAGCUAACGGUAAUGCAUACUAUUUCACUCUUGCUUUAGCAAUCACCGUAGUGGUUUGCCGGAAUUUGUGGCGGCCGAUUUCAAAAUUUUAUUGGCUGCGAUAACGGGUACGACACACUAAAUUUUAUUGUGAAAAUCUGAUCUGAUUCAUGAAGCUAUUAUACAUAGCUUUUUUUUAAAGCUAUUAAAAGCUAUUUUAAGAUUUUUUUUUUUAACAAACAGUCUUCAAGUGCUUAUGUCUGUCCGCCCGCAGAUAGGGCUGUAAACGAACCGAACGAACACGAACAAAGCUAUGUUCGUGUUCGUUCGUUAAGGAAAUUUGGAUGUUCGUGAACUGUUCGCGAACACAUGACGAACAGAAGUUUGUGUUCGUGUUCGUUCGUUAAGGAAUUUUGGUUGUUCGCGAACAGUUUGUGAACACAAACCACGAACGCAAACGAACACAAAUGAACUUUAAUUUUGAAAAUUAAAAAAGGAACAAUUAAUCUUAAACAUUGUACCAUUUAAAGGUUGAAGGGAUGGAUGAUAUUGGGUUCAAUCGAUUGGAGAUAGGCUGAAUGAAGGAGCGUGAUAUCAAAGAGGGAGAGGGCCAGAGAGAGGGAAAUACAUAUGGG